rnacentral:tRNA from 1 species
AAUUAAUGAACUUGAAUAAGUAUAUGUUUUGAAAACAUAAUAAAGAUAAAAAAUUUUCUAUUAAUUU